UUCCAAUCUGUGAGAUGAUGAUGACGUACUUGGCUUUCUAGUCUUGCGGCAUGUCCACUUUGCUUUUGCCUGUUGUUGUUUUUUUGUGUGAUUUUUACAUCUUAUUUUCUAGGAGCUGUAUUCUCUUAAAAAACUAAACAUUUGUAUGAGAUUAACUUUUGUGAUAUUUUUUGUUUCAAUGUGUGUGCAAGGAAUCCCUUACUGGUCCCCCGUGGGAAUCGAACCCACAACCCUGGUGUUGCAAACACCAUGCUCUACCAACUGAGCCAUCAAUAAUAAUACGAUAGACCUCCGUCUAUUGGAUGAUAGCCUUCUCCUGCAUAACAUCUGUGCUACAUGCUUCUUCCAGUAUGCUCGUGAGGACGCCUCCUUCUGUCAUCAGAGCUUCCUGUAUGCUCGUGAGAACACCUCCUUCUGUCACCAGAGCUUCCUGUAUGCUCGUGAGGACGCCUCCUUCUGUCACCAGAGCUUCCUGUAUGCUCGUGAGAACACCUCCUUCUGUCACCAGAGCUUCCUGUAUGCUCGUGAGGACGCCUCCUUCUGUCACCAGAGCUUCCUGUAUGCUCGUGAGGACGCCUCCUUCUGUCAUCAGAGCUUCCUGUAUGCUCGUGAGGACGCCUCCUUCUGUCACCAGAGCUUCCUGUAUGCUCGUGAGGACGCCUCCUUCUGUCACCAGAGCUUCCUGUAUGCUCGUGAGGACGCCUCCUACCACCUCUGUCACCUGACAGACCACCUCCUACAGACCACCUGAACUAAACUCCUACAUCUGCUUCCCUGUCCUCUCCUUUAAAAACAGACAAUUCAAGACUUUACACCUGUUGUAUUGAUAUAAAACAAUAACUUUGUAAUUGGUUCACUUCUUCUUUUUCUACAAUGCCGUGCAUCUGUUGCAGAUUGAUGGGGGGUGGAUUCAUGCAAUGUAUUCUGGUAGGUACCGCCUCGGAUGACAGCGUCAUCCGUGAACGCUGUUGAAAGAGACAUUAUGACCAGAAAAGUAUCAUAUGAGUGAAAUGUAUUUUUAUUGAUAAAAGAUAGUAGCUGUAUCUUUAAUCAGAAUAAAAAAACACUAUUCAUAGUGUUCCUCUCAC
rnacentral:lncRNA from 1 species